UACAGAGGUCUCAAGCGUUGUUCGGAUUCAUUGGGCGUAAAGGGUGCGUAGGUGGCGCCGUAAGUCGGGUGUGAAAUUUCGGAGCUUAACUCCGAAACUGCAUUCGAUACUGCGGUGCUUGAGGACUGGAGAGGAGACUGGAAUUCAUGGUGUAGCAGUGAAAUGCGUAGAGAUCAUGAGGAAGACCAGUGGCGAAGGCGGGUCUCUGGGCCGAAAUUGACGCUGAGGAGCGAAAGCGUGGGGAGCAAACAGG
rnacentral:rRNA from 1 species